AACGGGUGAGUAACACGUGAGCAACCUGCCCUUGGCUCUGGGAUAGCCUCCGGAAACGGGGAUUAAUACCGGAUAGGACCUAUGCCCUCAUGGGUGCGGGUGGAAAGUUUUUCGGCCAGGGAGGGGCUCGCGGCCUAUCAGCUUGUUGGGGGGGUGACGGCCCACCAAGGCGACGACGGGUAGCCGGCCUGAGAGGGCGGCCGGCCACACUGGGACUGAGACACGGCCCAGACUCCUGCGGGAGGCAGCAGUGGGGAAUAUUGCGCAAUGGGGGGAACCCUGACGCAGCGACGCCGCGUGCGGGAUGAAGGCCUUCGGGUUGUAGACCGCUUUCAGCAGGGGCGAAUCAGGACGGUACCUGCAGAAGAAGCGCCGGCUAACUACGUGCCAGCAGCCGCGGUAAUACGUAGGGCGCGAGCGUUGUCCGGAAUUAUUGGGCGUAGAGAGCUCGUAGGCGGCUUGUCGCGUCUGCUGUGAAAUCCCGGGGCUUAACCCCGGGCGUGCAGUGGAUACGGGCAGGCUGGAGGCAGGCAGGGGAGAACGGAAUUCCCGGUGUAGCGGUGAAAUGCGCAGAUAUCGGGAGGAACACCGGUGACGAAGGCGGUUCUCUGGGCCUGUUCUGACGCUGAGGAGCGAAAGCGUGGGGAGCGAACAGGAUUAGAUACCCUGGUAGUCCACGCCGUAAACGUUGGGCGCUAGGUGUGGGGUCCUUCCACGGAUUCUGUGCCGGAGCUAACGCAUUAAGCGCCCCGCCUGGGGAGUACGGCCGCAAGGCUAAAACUCGAAGGAAUUGACGGGGGCCCGCAC
rnacentral:rRNA from 1 species